rnacentral:pre_miRNA from 1 species
AAAAAUACAAAUCCUAAAUAUCUGUGCCAACAUUUAACUAUCCGUUUUAUAUGAUUUUUUUUAUAAUUAGUAUUUUUAUUAUUGUUAGAUGAUAAAACAUGAUUAAUACUUUAUGUGUGACUUAUCUUUUUAAUUUUUUUAUAAUUUUUUUAAAUAAAACGGACGGUAAAAUGUUAGAUAUAAAAAAUUAGGGUU